ACGACCAUCAGAGCAGCUACGACGACUCGACGAGAUAGAUAUGAAAAUACCGACGACGACGAUCGUCGACUAUACGCCGCGUAUUUGGGGCGCCCGAGGCCACCGCUAAAAAUACAACCGCCCGGAGAACUGGUUUAACAGCACUCGCGCGCGUAUUUAUACACACACACACACACACAAUAUUGCGUAUGAGUAUAUAAGUACAACUCGCGCGUGUUGAUGGAAUUUCAUGUACGCGACCAAUACGGUUCGUGUGCGUUGUGGAAUUCUUGUCGUCCCGAACGCUGCAGGAAUUUCAUCGGUUGCGCGGUGGCUGCGGCUGCGGCGGCCGAAAUGCCAUUUUUUUUCUCAUUCUCCUCUUCGCCCGACAUCGUCGUGGGCCGACACGCCAGCCGCCGAUGAUGACCCUUGUUGUAACGGAAGGAAGUAUAUCGUACACAGCGUCCGUCAUGCGAGUGUGUGUAGUUCACACAUAUAAUUCGGGUAUAAACUACAAAAAGAUAAAUUUCGUCGCAAAAGACUCGAGUCUCAAUACAAUUUAGCCCACGCGAAAUCACAGCGCUGUGAUUCAGAUCUUUCUAAGCCUUGCGAUUGCCGCGAACAAAAGGGUCGUCAGAUCUUAAUACACUGUAAUUUCGACCUACAUUUAAAAUAUUGGUAAUAUUCUUUCGACAAUAUCGGCAAUCGUCUGCUAAGAACCCGUUAAAUUCUAUGACGGAUGUUUGGAAUAAUUAUGUUAUUAAUAAUAAUAAUAAUAAUUGUGUUAUGAAAUCCUAGUAAUAUAUUAUGUAGGUUUAGUUACAUCGUAUUUAUGAUUAUUACUUCUAGACUAACCUAACCUAUUUAUCGACUGAAAUAAAUAUUUUUUAAAUAAUGACUGCAUACGUGUAUUUUCAAGGAAUAUUUAUCUUGGUAAUUACAAUUUACAACACAACGAUGAAAAAGGAGGAGAGAGUGGAUUUUAUGGAUAGUAAAAUCUAACUGCAGAGACAGGGGAACGGGAAGACGAAUAGAUUACAGGUUUAAAAACGAUUUUAACUGUAUGUUUCAAUUGCGGAAACGUUAGUUCUUCGUGCAGCGUGUACUAAGAGAGUACCAGCUACAUACAAUAACAACGUCGUAACAUAGUAAACGUAAAAAACUGCAAUUACAUUGAGAACAACAACAACAACAACUACUACUACAGCAGCAGCAAGCACGAAUACGACUUUCCCUCCCUCUAAACAGCCUUAUUACUCACCGUCGUGCUUGGACGCAAUAGUCGCCACCCCACCAACAACCGUUCCGAUGGACAACUACAACUGCAGUAGUAUAAUAUUAUUAUUAGUCAUUAGUUAUUAUCUUUAUCUAAGUACGUAGUUAUAACUUAUCACUUAUAUCUUACUGUAUUCUUGUAUCAACUCGACGAUGAUUUAUACAUACAGGAUGAUUCACCAAACAUGCACACCCCCAUUUUUCAUUUAUAAUAGCGAAUUUAUUCAAAUUCUGAAUUUUGAAAUUUUAAAAUAUGCUUAAAGACCAUUUGAAAAAUUAAUUGAGAUUUUUUUUUGUAUACUGUAUAAGAAGAAGUGGUGAUGCAAUUUUUUUAAAAUAAAAACCUCCGGGGUUGAAAACGUAUUUUAUUAUAUAAAUUGUAAGUGAAUACCGAAUUUAAAAAAAAAUUUGAUGUAAGUUACAAUUCAA